rnacentral:rRNA from 1 species
UUUUUGGAGAGUUUGAUUCUGGCUCAGAACGAACGCUGGCGGCGUGGAUAAGACAUGCAAGUCGAACGGGAUCAGUUGAGUAGCAAUACGAUUCUGGUCUAGUGGCGAACGGGUGCGUAACACGUGGAUACAUUCCGGGAAGCGGGGGAUAGCCCAGGGAAACUUGGAUUAAUACCGCAUGUGAUCGCAAGAUCAAAGACGGGGACCGCAAGGCCUGUCACUUCCCGAUUGGUCCGCGGCCUAUCAGCUAGUUGGCGGGGUAAAGGCCCACCAAGGCGACGACGGGUAGCUGGUCUGAGAGGACGACCAGCCACACUGGAACUGAGACACGGUCCAGAC